rnacentral:lncRNA from 1 species
AGGAAAGUGAACUCCCAGGGCUCCAUGGAGAACAACUCCGACAGAGUGAGAAAACCAGAGCCACUACACAAGCAGAUGCAAAAGUCCCCCAAGGGCACCGGUGCCAUGUCCAGCGACAGCCAGGAGCUCAGCAGCAGUGGCAAAGGGUCAGAGCUGCACAAGCAGAGGGCAAAACGCCACAGACGGGGAAAGAGCGCGAGGAGCUCAGACGCUGGCGAGGAGCGGAUGUCGACUGGAGCGGAGCAACCGGCCCCUGAUCGGUCCUCGCAUCAACUCGGAGAAAAAGCUGAGGCUCCCGCUGUGGAUCUGCGAAGCGCUCAUCAGAAGAAGUCCAGGAGCCCAAAGACGCACUUGGCCAUGCAGAAGGAGAAGGGGGAGAUGGAGAACGGCCAAAAUUGGGUUAGUCUGACUGGCAUCUCCGAUGGACGAAGUGCAGAAAAACAAAGCUGUUUUCAUGCAAGUGGUGAGUAUGGAAGUGCACCAUGUUUUUACAGC